rnacentral:rRNA from 1 species
AGAGUUUGAUCCUGGCUCAGGACGAACGCUGGCGGUGCGCCUUAUGCAUGCAAGUCGAGCGAAGCUUUUCAGUAGUUUACUACAGAAAAUGACUGAGCGGCGAACGGGUGAGUAACGCGUGAGCAAUCUACCUUAGUUACAGGGAUAGCCCGAGGAAACUCGGAUUAAUACCUGAUAUUCUUUACAUUUCGCAUGAAAUCAAAAGGAAAGGUCAGCCGAACUAAGAUGAGCUCGCGUUCUAUCAGCUAGUUGGUGAGGUAAAAGCUCACCAAGGCAACGACGGAUAGCUGGUCUGAGAGGACGAUCAGCCACACUGGGACUGAGACACGGCCCAGACUCCUACGGGAGGCUGCAGCAGGGAAUAUUGCGCAAUGAGCGAAAGCUUGACGCAGCGACACCGCGUGUGGGAUGACGGAUCUAGGUUUGUAAACCACUUUCAGGAGGGAAGAAAAUGACGGUACCUCCACAAGAAGCCCCGGCCAACUACGUGCCAGCAGCCGCGGU